AAUAGCUCAGGGGUAGAGCACAACCUUGCCAAGGUUGGGGUCGCGAGUUCGAAUCUCGUUU
rnacentral:tRNA from 1 species